GCUGGGAUGUGGCUCAGUGGUAGAAUACUUGCCUGUCAUGUGAGAGACCCUGGGCUCAAUUCCAAGUACCAAUG
rnacentral:tRNA from 1 species